UACGUAGGUCUCAAGCGUUAUCCGGAAUUACUGGGCGUAAAGAGUCCGUAGCAGGAUUUGUAAGUUUAUUUUCAAAUAUCUCGGCUCAACCGAGAGAAGGGAAUAAAUACUGCAUUUCUUGAGGUUAUUAGAGGAUAGUGGAAUUUCCGGUGGAGAGGUGAAAUUCGUUGAUAUCGGAAAGAAUGCCGAAAGCGAAAGCAGCUGUCUAUAAUAACCUGACUGUGAUGGACGAAAGCUUGGGUAGCAAACGGG
rnacentral:rRNA from 1 species